UGAUCUAGAACUCUUGAUCCUCCUGCCUCAGCCUCCUAGAGCACUGGGAUUACAGGCCUGUACUGUACUCCACUCUAGCAGCAGUGGUGCGUGACAAGGCGAGGGUGACGAUGAGGCAUUUCCGGCAGCACACUCAGCUGCGGUCCCCUGAGAAGCCGAGGCCAGCCGGGGACCCAGAGGGGACAGGAAGCCGAAGUGAGUUAAUGCGGAGCCGGAGGAUGGCACAGGAGAGGAACGGGAGAAGCUGCACCAACACCCGCCCGGGGGGGCCUCCCAGCAAACCAGGAGGUUUGGAUUAAUCUCCUUCUCCAACACCUCAGGAUCAGGAGGACAGCUGGGUCACCUGCCUCAGCCUCGCCAGACCCAAUUAACCACCAUGAUCUCGAAAUACACUCCUGGCACUCGCUCCAGAAGUGUCUGCUGAUGAACGCCGGCAGAGGCUUGGGACGGCGUACUGCACCUACAGGAGUGUGCAGCCCUGAGCACAGAGAGCGCAGAGGCAAACAGCAUCUCUAUUUGCAUCCUGGGAUCAAGCCAAAGUCUGGGAAAAGUCUGUGCCCUGGAAUCACCAACCUGGACUACUGAGGACACGACAUAACUGAGGCCACGAC